rnacentral:rRNA from 1 species
GACGAACGCUGGCGGCGUGCCUAAUACAUGCAAGUAGAACGCGGAAGGAGGAGCUUGCUUCCCUGGAUGAGUUGCGAACGGGUGAGUAACGCGUAGGUAACCUGCCUGGUAGUGGGGGAUAACUAUUGGAAACGAUAGCUAAUACCGCAUAAUAGCAGUUGUUGCAUGAUAACUGUUUGAAAGGUGCAAUUGCACCGCUACCAGAUGGACCUGCGUUGUAUUAGCUAGUUGGUGGGGUAACGGCUCACCAAGGCGACGAUACAUAGCCGACCUGAGAGGGUGGUCGGCCACACUGGGACUGAGACACGGCCCAGACUCCUACGGGAGGCAGCAGUAGGGAUGCUUCGGCCAUGGCCGGAAGUCUGAUCGAGCAACGCCGCACGAGUGAAGAAGGUUUUCGGGUCGGAAAGCUCUGUUGUAAGAGAAGAACGAGUGUGGGAGUUGAAUGUUCACACUGUGACGGUAGCUUACCAGAAAGUGACGGCUAACUACGUG